CAGCGAAGAUCUGCAGGCAUCUUCAUCCUCGUAUCCCUCAGGCAGUGUCGUCUCCUCAUAGUCCGCAGGGGAGCUCCAGAGGUCAGGCGGUGUCACUUUCUAUUUGUUUGUGUCUCUGGGUGUUGUGCAAGGCGGCCUGAGGAGAGGCGAGAGAGUGUUUAACUGUUCAUCGGACAACGGAUUCUGCAGCUGCGCCCGUGGGGCCCUGAGACAUGCUGUUCAAAACGGCAAAGGGGGAAACUGCUGCACCAGUCUGCUGAAUCAUGGCAGGGGAGACGAUACUAACUCAUCUCGUUUUGGGGGCUGACACAGCAGCAGCAUCUUCAUCAUCUGAAUUUGGAACAGAGGAAGAAGCAUAACAGAAAUACAAAUCUCAUUUGACUUUCCCAUGCAGGAGAUGCAGUGCACCAGGCUACAGUUGGUGGGCGUUGUCAUGCACACUGCAGGAUUAGUAGACGGGGUUAUGACGGGCUGGAGAAUUAAACUCUGAGUAAGCUCAUAAUCACUGUGGCAUUCAGAUUCAGUAGGAAACACAUUAGACCACUGAAGGCCUGAAUAUAUUCCACUCUAGGAUUGCAUGAAGGCGACGCUGCAUCUGGCUCGAACUUCUUGCCUGGGAAACACAACAGAUCAGUCCCUGCGAACACAGAGCCAUCUGUGUCCCAGGAGAGGAUGCUGCUAGAGCCAGGGUCAACUGAUGAAAUGAUCUUAUUUCGUAAUGCAUUUUUAGUGUAAGGAAGUUGCAUGAAGCAUUAUGCUUGUAUAUGUGUUCAUAUACAGUAUUCAUAUGAUGAGACAGAUUCUGUUUUCACUCAACCAGUGAGUUGGCUCAUCAUACGUCUUUGGGCAGUGAUUACAAACAAGAACCAGAUCUCAGAUAAUGGCCCAGAGCUGCUAUAGACCAAAAUUAAAAUGAGCUCAUUGUUAUGUAUGCCAUCAUCUAUUUCACUCGGUGGCCCCUCCCCUGUCCAUUUCCCCGCUCCGCCUGCUGCACUAAUCCAGUAUUGGAAACACGGAGGAGGAGGAGGAGGAGGAGGAGGAUGUGGCUGACCGAUUCUAGAGGGUUCCAUCUCAUCCUACCUCCAUCCCUCGCUCCACCCGUAUCCCCUCCAGCGAGAGUCACCCUGUGUUAGCGUCAGUGUUUCCAGUAGAGCUGCAGGAGGUCGAGGGGAAAGCGGCAGUGUCCCAGCCAAGUCCAGUUCCCUCCUUCACCCACAUUCUUCCUCUUUUCCUCUUCACCUCUUCCAGCUCUCCGCCUUUUACAUAUUCAGCCAUUUCUACCUUCUUGUCUCCUUCUCUGUCUGUCCGUCUGUUUUCCCAAACUUCGUCUGCCGUUACUCUUGGCCUGUGAAGUGCAUGAUACUCUGCAGUGUGUGUGUGUGUGUGUACACUAGAUGUCAUGGUGUGCCCUGUCUUGGCAGUCCACUCUGAUUUGCUCGGUCUGCCUCCCCAGAGCUCAGAGACCGCAUGAAGACAGAGACAGAUGGAGAAAUAGCAGGGAGAGAGGUGUAGUCAGAAUAUGAACCAGACAAAAGACAGAAGGAUGAAGGAAAUGAAGAAGUAAAGUACAUAUCCAUAUAUGUGCCAAGUGCUGCUCAUUGCGGCAACCGUUGGGUUUCUCUAUGAUAUUGUGACGCCUCGACCUCACUAUGUAAAGAGCCCUGAGAUAAUGUAUGUUCUGAUUUAGUGCUAUACAAAAAAGUAGAAUUACAUUCAGUUAGCAGGCACUUUUUUUUCAAAGCGACUUAAAAUAAGUGCAUAUAGCAUGGAGCUAUUACCCCAAAUGUGCAAGAAUCAGUAGAGUACAUGAGCAGUCAUCAAAUAGAAUAGAAUUGAAUACAUCUCAAUUGUCGUCUGUCUGUCUGUCUGUCUGUCUGUCUGUCACGCACGCACGCACGCACGCACGCAUGCACACACGCACACACGCACACACGCACACACACACACACACACACACACACCCUUCUCCUGCAGUCACUAGUGACUAUAUGAAGCACAAGCCACAACAUUUUACAUUAGCAGAAUACAAUACCACGUCUCCAGGGUUCAACGUGUGUGUGUGUGUGUGUGUGUGUGUGUGUGACUGCACAGUCACAUUUAUCUAGGGGAAGUGAAUGACGUGUGUCAUUGAUUUCCAGUGGGAGCCGUGCCUUUGGCCCGGCUGCAGUUUGAUUUAUAAUGCCCACGUGUGUCUCUGCUUCUGCAAAAGGAAAUGCCUCUUUAUCUGUGGUUUUCAAGAAUGAAACGCCUUCACCGUCCAUCCUGUUGUAAUGGAAAUGAAGAAUAAAAAUACUUCUUAGCCAGUAUUCAACAGAUAACACAUUUGAAGUGAAGGGAAGAUUCUUCAAUAAAGUCAGUUUAGUUGAUUAAGGGUGUCCAAUGUAGACAACACUUAUUAAAUAUGUUUGUUUGCUUUGCUGCAGAAAGUUAGAUGAUCAAUAUCAAUAUAGCUCUAAUGUCUGUAUUAUAAAAUACAUAUGAACAACAACAUUCUGGAGUCUCCAUUGGCUGCAUGGCCCCAACAAGUGGGCACAACCCCUGUAAAGAACAUUUACAGGAUUGGUGGAGUUGGAGUUUUCAACAUCACUGGAAUUAUUACGUGAUGAAAUUAUGUUACUGAAUCGACUAAGAGAUGCAGAGAUUCCAAACAGUAGGAACAUCAUCGUUCGUGGUGUUUGUUUCAUUUUGCAUAAGACAGAAUAAAAACAAAAAAGGUGGACAGACACAAUGAGUCAGACGGAUCAGACACUUGAGCAUGUGGUCCGCUGGAGAAGAGCCAGGAGCCAGUGCUCCAGUCAUUCACACCUGUCCUGCCCAUGAGAACAAUAUGUGAUGUCUUCAGCGGCGAGGCUGCAGGAUGCUGAACAAGUGUACGUUUGGCUGCGUUCGGGUGUUAUGUCAACAUGAAGGCGUUCUGAGUUUACCUCACGAAGCUCCUGUGGAAACUGAUGACAGUGAGAGGGAACGUGAAGGGAGGGGCCUUUGGACGAGGUGCCUGUGGACGAGGUGCCUGUGGACGAGGGGCCUGUGGACGAGGGGCCUGUGGACGAGGGGCCUGUGGACGAGGGGCCUGUGGUCGAGGGGCCUGUGGACGAGGUGCCUGUGGACGAGGGGCCUGUGGACGAGGGGCCUGUGGUCGAGGGGCCUGUGGUCGAGGGGCCUGUGGACGAGGGGCCCGUGGUCGAGGGGCCCGUGGACGAGGGGCCCGUGGACGAGGGGUCUUUGGACGAGGGGCCUGUGGUCGAGGGGCCUGUAGACGAGGGGCCUGUGGUCGAGGGGCCUGUGGUCGAGGGGCCUGUGGACGAGGGGCCUGCGGUCGAGGGGCCCGUGGACGAGGGGCCCGUGGACGAGGGGCCUGUGGUCGAGGGGCCUGUGGACGAGGACUGGAGCCGUUACAUCCACCUUCCGUUGCCUCAAAGCAAAUUACAGGCUGAAAAAGAGUUUGUCUGGUACUUUUGGCAGUCACACACCCACACAAACUAAUAUCUGAUAUUCAAAAGAACAAAGUAAAAUAUAUAUUGGCAGUGAAGUCUUCUGUAUGUUCUGUUUGUUAAGAAUGUUCUUUUUUGAGCAUGGUUAUUUAAUGCCACAGAUAAAACGUCACAUCAAACACAUGAUGCUGAGUAACCGUGUCCAUUUUCACUUCCAGGGAAGUGAGUCAAGUCAAGUGGCACAACACUGCCCCCUUGAGACUUUCGAUCAAACUGCCAGUGUUUUUGCAGAGUGCAGGAAAACGAAGGCAGUCUCAUCCUCUCAUUGGCUGCGCUGCUCAUAUUAAAUAAGAGACCGUGACCUGAAAUCAGACAGAUCUGAACUCUUUACCCAUUUCACUCUGUUUCUGUUCUCAGUACAGUGCACACGGUCUCCAGAGCGGUCAGUGAAUGAGCAGAUUCAUUUCGAUGGAUCAGGCCUUCUGCUGUCAUGCCGGGCGCAGCAGACACACGACAGGGGACUGGGUUGGUUCUGGACCUGCAGUGUGUUUGUCCCGUGGUUAUAUCUGAGGCUGUUUAUAGAAACUAACCAACAUGAAGUGAAUGUGGCCAAUCAAUGAGCUCAAACUGAAAAGCCUCAAUCCUUUAUGGGCAGUGACAUCAUCAGUGGAACUUUAUUUGGGCAUUAAUAUUCUAAAUGUUCUGAUUUUGUAAUGCUGGUUGCAGAAGGGGAUUCAGUGUAUCUGUGCAUCGAUACAGCGAUUGUGGUAUUUUAUUUUGCCAUUUCCAGAAAGUUCUGCAGGUAGAGAGGUCACAUCGUUGAAAUCCUGGAUUUCCUGAGAGCUGAAAAAUAAUAUAUUCCUAUGGAGAAGGUUUGCCUGUUUUAAUAUUUCUGUGAUAUGCACAAAACAUAAGCCAAAAACAUUGUUUGGUUUG